GAUGAACGCUGGCGGCGUGCCUAAUACAUGCAAGUCGAGCGAACGGACGAGAAGCUUGCUUUUCUGAUGUUAGCGGCGGACGGGGGAGUAACACGUGGAUAACCUACCUAUAAGACUGGGAUAACUUCGGGAAACCGGAGCUAAUACCGGAUAAUAUUUUGAACCGCAUUGUUCAAAAGUGAAAGACGGUCUUGCUGUCACUUAUAGAUGGAUCCGCGCUGCAUUAGCUAGUUGGUAAGGUAACGGCUUACCAAGGCAACGAUGCAUAGCCGACCUGAGAGGGUGAUCGGCCACACUGGAACUGAGACACGGUCCAGACUCCUACGGGAGGCAGCAGUAGGGAAUCUUCCGCAAUGGGCGAAAGCCUGACGGAGCAACGCCGCGUGAGUGAUGAAGGUCUUCGGAUCGUAAAACUCUGUUAUUAGGGAAGAACAUAUGUGUAAGUAACUGUGCACAUCUUGACGGUACAUAAUCAGAAAGCCACGGCUAACUACGUG
rnacentral:rRNA from 1 species